CAAGGCGGUGGCAUUUGAUCUGCGUGGUGGACCCACCCAGCACAAGGACAAAUGCGGAGGAGCGUCUCCUCAUCUUCCUCGACAAGCCAAAACGGAGGCGAGGAGGGCUCGAGGCGGUCGGAGGCGGAGCUCGCCGCCGCGGCGUCUCGUGCCAAGCACAACCUUCGCCUCCUUCGCCUCCGUCGCCUCCUCGUAGCCGUCGUCACCUUCGCGCGCCGCUGCUCCUCUCGCUCCCUGGAACCCAGAUCCGGCAGCGAAGAGAUGUUGCAUCGCGCCAUGGCGUCGCUUCAGAUAGGAACAGUGGCGGAGGACGGAUAAAAACUGAGGUAUGGCGGAGUCAAUCGAUUUUCAAGCAACGGAAACUUGCUAUUUGUUAUGCGGAUGUAUGACUGUGCAGAUCACUUGCCUACUCCUGCUGCUAAGCAAGGGUUUCCUUUUUUUUACCUUCCGCUACCGUAGAAUACUCAUUACUUAUCCUCAUUCAUGACAGUGUGACGUAGGAUAAGUCAGAACUAAACACAGAGAUUGAGGAUUAAGAAGAGUAGGCUAUCAUGGAACAGCAAGGUAUGGCAGGGGCCAUACCUUGCCACCGUGCCCCUCCGCCACUGGAUAAGUUUCACUUGUGCAGCAUCUUUUGAGCCUUGGAAACAUUGUCAACAGCAGCUCUAGCUAAUUGGGUGGAGGCAUCAAGCACAAAAGGCUGACUUUACUUUUGCACUUGAUGAAGAUGUGAUUUACAUGCUGGCACCUGAAUCCCGACCGAAGUGGACGGACAAUGUGUACUACAAUCACCUGUGCACAAACCUUGCUGAUGCGAACUACCAAUAUCAUCGUGCUUACGCAAUUAUGUACAUGAAGACACCUACUAAAUCACGUUGUUGAUAUGGCGCCGUUUUAAAUUAAAUUAUGUUAGAAAUCAGAUUACUAAAUCGCCAGCAUGUAAGAUUAGAGAUAAUCUCAUCCAUAGGUUAGGGCUAAUCCUAGCCAUUAGAUUAGAUCAAUAACUGAUUAGCAGUUAACCUUGUAAAUCCAACGGGUGUGUCCGUUGGUGUACCGAUGUGUCCCUCCGCUUACAGACGCAACUCUCCACUGUACGGUCGCGUCCUUUUGGUGAAGGGACGCGUCCUCUCGGUUCUCCCUGUAUUCAAAGAUCAAUGAAAUCACUCAACAGUUGUUUUCAAA